GACGAACGCUGGCGGCGUGCCUAAUACAUGCAAGUCGAGCGCUGAAGGUUGGUACUUGUACCGACUGGAUGAGCAGCGAACGGGUGAGUAACGCGUGGGGAAUCUGCCUUUGAGCGGGGGACAACAUGUGGAAACGAAUGCUAAUACCGCAUAAAAACUUUAAACACAAGUUUGAAGGGUGAAAGAUGCAAUUGCAUCACUCAAAGAUGAUCCCGCGUUGUAUUAGCUAGUUGGUGAGGUAAAGGCUCACUAAGGCGAUGAUGCAUAGCGGCACUGAGAGGGUGAUCAGCCACAUUGGGACUGAGACAGGGCCCAAACGCCCUCGGGAGGCAGCAGUAGGGCUUCUUCGGCCAGGGACGAAAGUCAGACCGCGAAGGGCCGAGGGCGUGAAGAAGGAUGUCGGGUCGGGAAACACGGUUUGUAGGGAAGAAAGUGCGUGAGCGUGGAACGAUCAUUAAGUGACGGUAACUGCUAAGAAAGCGACGGCUAACUACGUG
rnacentral:rRNA from 1 species